GACGAACGCUGGCGGCGUGCUUAACACAUGCAAGUCGAACGAAGUGGCGAACGGGUGAGUAACGCGUAAUCAACUUGCCCCUCAGCGGGGGACAACAGUUGGAAACGUUUGCUAAUACCCCAUACUGAAGGAGGGGUUUGCGUCUGAUUAGCUAGCAGGAGGGGUAAUGGCCCAACAAGGCGGUGAUCAGUAGCCGGUCUGAGAGGAAGAACGGCCACAUUGGGACUGGGACACGGCCCAGACUCCUGCGGGAGGCAGCAAUGGGGAAUCUUCCGCAAUGGACGGAAGUCUGACGGCGCGACGCCGCGUGAGUGAUGACGGCCUUCGGGUUGUAAAGCUAUGUUAAUCGGGACGCGGUACCGGAAUAGAAAGCAACGGCUAACUACGUGCCAGCAGCCGCGGUAAUAC
rnacentral:rRNA from 1 species